CCAAUCCCCGCCUCCUCUCACCUCCUCCUCCUCCUCCUCUAGAGACAGCGGUGGCUCGGACUCAGUGUGGCUGCGCUGCCUCCUCUCCUCUCUGCUCCCGUGCGUGCUUGCUCGCGGCGACAGGGUGCUCCAGUGCCGGGUACGACACGGCCGGCAGCGGUGCGGCAGCAGCUUCGAGGAGCCGGGGUUGCGGCGGCCAGGACGCCCGCCCAAGCGACCCCCGCCGCCGGCCACACAUGAGCUUCACGCUCGUGGACCUCUAGGACAGGAGAUCGAUGGGGACGGAUGGAGACGGCAGCAGCGGUGGCACGAUGGUGGCCCGGGCUAGGCGCUGCAGGAGCGCACAUGGGCGGCGUCGACUCGGAGAGUGGCGGCAGAACGGUGCCUCGAGGUCGAGAAGGUCGUCCACAGCCGCCGGUACGGUGCUCGAGAUCUGGCGGAUCGGCACCUCGAGGUCGAGAAGGGCGUCCACACCCGCCGGUGCUCGAGAUCUGGCGGAUGGAGGGCUGCAGCGGCGGCGGGAUCAAUCUUGGUCGUCACUCCAACCUGCAGAGCUCCGUGACGUUUUCCUGGUCGAGCUCUGGUUUCCACCCAUGUUUCCUUCUCUUCCUCUCUGCUGUUGGCCACGCCGGCCAUGGCCCUCGAAUCCGACGCCUGCAUCUACCGGACACAUCCGCUAUUCCAGUAAAGGAUUUGAUGUGCUAAAACAAUAAUGUGGAGAUAAGUCAUAUGUCUGAUGGAAAAUAUAGCUAUAGCUAUUUUUUGUUUGUUUUAUCAGUAUCAUCCUAGAACCUGACAUGGGCCUGCUUAUUAUCUGCUUAAUCUCCCUACUUUUAUACCUGAUUUGUGUGUUGCCGGUUGACAUGAAGCCUCCUUCGGUCAACAAGUAGGUAUUUAUGGCCAGGCUGAUAGCUAUUUGCAGAUAUUCAGGUUGUUGUUAAUUGUGGCAGGUGAGAGAUCUGAAGUUAAUGCCUGUGAAAAUUCGUGGUUUCUUAAGUGGGCGAAGAGCUGCCAGAAAGAAGAUCCAUGAGAGGAUCAAUGCUAUCCACUUAUCUUUGUCAGUUCUGAAAUCUCCAGGAGCUGAAGCUCAAGUAAAUGAGCUUAGAAAAGUAUCAAUAAAGCUAAGCAAAGCAUUGAACUUGGAAGGGAUCAGAUCAAUGGUGGAAAGAUUGACACAAAAGAACAACAUUCCACAGUGUGUACCUCUUGCACUUUGUUUUCUUUAUUGAU